ensembl:lncRNA CHST14 carbohydrate sulfotransferase 14
CUGCUUCUCAGAAGACCCAAACUGAAAAUCUACUAUAUUCAGUCUGGAUCUACUGGAAAGUAGAUUCUCAGGGUGGGCAAUUCUGGACAGUUUUAUAAUAGCUGGAGAGGCCUGCAAACAGAAUUGCUGGGGGAGUGUUGGAAGGAGAUUUGGAGAAAAAGGGCUCAAAAAUUAGAGAAAAUGAACAUGAUGCUUUGCAGCAAACGCAAUGAGCUGGGUAACUUGUGACACAUGUUCACCUAUGGAGGACCAAACACUCGAUGGAGCUGGGUUUUCAGCUCAGCCCCACCACCUCUUUGGCAGAGAGAAGACGCUCCAAGGGGUCCCGCACAAACAGGAACUUGAAGUAGUGCUGGAGGCGGUAGCGAAUCUCGUCAGGCCGCAGGUCGGCCAGGAACACCAGGUCGCUGCGGUGGUCCAUCUUGAGGCGGACGUCCACGUUGUCCAGGACUCCCGCCAGCACCUUCAGAACCCGCUUCCAGUUGGAGCAGGCCACCUUGGGCACAUAGCAGUAGAGGAAGCGGUAGCGGUCACUCACGAGGAUGUGGCGCAGCAGGGUGCGCCGCUGCCCCACCGGCAAGUCCCAGGGGUCCCGGGGCAUGCCCGGUUGUCCGCACACUGCCCGCAAGGUCCGGUUCCGGACGUCCUGCCUCACCUGCAGGUCCGAGUUCCCCGCAUCCAGGGACAGCCUCCCAGGCCUGGGGACUGUCCCGCGCCAGACCGCGUCCUCGCGAUUGGGAGGGUGCAGGGGAAGGGGCUUCAUCUCGGCCAGGAUGCCCCGCUCGAUCAUGAGCAGCAGCCCGCUGGAAGCCACGAUCACCGCGAACAUCAGCAUGGACGGCAGCAGGAGGGGCGGCCCGCCCAGCCCAGGCCGGGCCCUGCCCAGGGGCGCCCGCCUCAGCGCCCGGCCCAGGGGCUCGGCGCCUUCUGGGGCCGCCAGCGGGGUCAGCGGGCGGGGGAACAUUGUGCUCUCGGGGCGGGGGCCUGCGUGGGCCAGGCUGAUCCGAGGGCUGUACGGGAGGCGGGCUCGGGCUGGGGGCGGGCCCGAGGGCUUGGACCCGCGGAGCCCGGAAGGGAUCCGGGAGAGCAGCGCUGGCUGGAGGCCCCCGGCGCGCGCGGGGUGGCCCACUCCCGGGAUGAGGCGCCGAAGCGGGCGGCGGGCAGCGGGCAGCGCGCGAGCGCGGCGAGGGACCUGGGCCGGAUGUCCCGCCCGGCCGCUCUCCUCCCCCGGCCCCGC